UGCAAAUGAUGUUUUUCUCACGAUGGUCUUCCUAGCCCUCGUGCUCUGAUGAUACUGCCUUAUGGCAACACUGAUGCAGCUUA